GCCAGGCAUGGUGGCGUGCGCCUGUAAUCCCAGCUACUUGGGAGGCUGAGGCAGGAGAAUUGCUUGAACCCAGGAGGCGGAGGUUGCAGUGAGCUGAGAUUGCGCCACUGUACUCCAGCCUGGGUGACAGAGUGAGACUCUGUCUCAA
rnacentral:SRP_RNA from 1 species